CCUACCUGGUUGAUCCUGCCAGUAGUCAUAUGCUUGUCUCAAAGAUUAAGCCAUGCAUGUCUAAGUCCAAGCUGUGUUCACACGGCGAGACCGCGGACGGCUCAUUAAAUCAGUCGUGGUCCAAAUGGGCCAGUGCAAAUCCUACUUGGAUAACUGUGGUAAUUCCAGAGCUAAUACAUGCAACUGAUAUCCCGAAGGCGUGGCUGUGCUUGCUUGUCUUGCGCUUUCAUUGCUCUGACGGAUGCUUUUAUUAGACCAAGCCGCUGAGGACUUGGGGGUUCGCUCUCUUGUUCGACUCGUGUGAUGGUGACUCUGGAUAACCAAUUCUGACAAGCGCACGUACUUCUCUUCUGAGCGAGACGCGCUGCCACUUUCGAGUGUCUGCCUUAUCAGCUAUCAACCGUUCGUUAUGCGCGACCGAUGGCUUUGACGGGUAACGGGGAAUCAGGGUUCGAUUCCGGAGAGGCAGCCUGAGAGACGGCUACCACGUCCAAGGACGGCAGCAGGCACGCAAAUUACCCAAUCCCAGCAAAUGGGGGAGGUAGUGACGAAAUCUAACGAUGCGGGCGCCCUUUCUGGGGCCCCGCAAUCGGAAUGGGCACUUUCUAAACAACCUGUUGAGAACCUACUGAAGGGCAAGUCUGGUGCCAGCAGCCGCGGUAAUUCCAGCUUCAGCAGCAUCUAUUAAAGUUGCUGCGGUUAAAAGGCUCGCAGUUGAAUGUCUGUAUCGAGCGCAGGUCAGGUGGACGUUGGGGCGUGGAAGUACGGGCUGUUGGAUGUUCGGAGGGCCUCGUGCUCGACGGCUCCUUCGGCUUUUCCACACACCCCCGUCCGUAACAAGCCUCCUCGCUCGGGUACAUAACGGGAAUCGGUCAAACGGAGUGUGGUUGCUUUUGGAGGUUAACGCUUUCAGGAGUGGCUACGUUAAGCUCCAUCGGUUUCACGGUCACCUUGAGUAAAUCAGAGUGCUCAAAGCAGUCGUAGGGGCCUUGCGCCCUGUGAACAGUCUUGACGGACUGACUUGGUUUUGCAUGGCAUGUCGGAAGACGACGUCGUGUGCUGGCUCAGAGGAUAAAUCAGUGGUACAAGCCAGCCUCGACGUAAUGAUUAAAAGGGACGGUCGAGGGCAUUGGUAUUGCGAGGCGAGAGGUGAAAUUCUGUGACCCCCGCAAGACCUCCUGAAGCGAAAGCGUCUGCCAAGGACGUUUUCAUUAAUCAUGAACGAAAGUUAGAGGAUCGAAGGCGAUCAGAUACCGCCCUAGUUCUAACCCUAAACGAUGCCAACCAUCAAUCCGCGCGUAGCACCCUUCUUAACGGGCCCGGCGGGCAGCUCCCCACUCACGGGAAACCAGAGCCUCUGGGUUCCGGGGGGAGUCUGGUUGCAAAGCUGAAACUUAAAGGAAUUGACGGAAAGGCACCACCAGGCGUGGAGCCUGCGGCUUAAUUUGACUCAACACGGGCCAUCUCACCAGGCCAGCACUCUUGUACGAUUGACAGAUUGAGAGCUCUUUCUCGAUUCAGUGGAUGGUGGUGCAUGGCCGUUCUUAGUUGGUGGAGUGAUCUGUCUGGUUAAUUCCGAUAACGAACGAGACUCUCCCCUGCUAACUAGUCGGUUGGAUCUUGAUCAGCGGGUUGCGUGCUGAGUAACUCUCGCUGCGUGUGAUGUGCGUUUCGUGCUUAACGGUGCGUUGCGUCUUGCGCGUAGUGUUGGAUGCCUUGGAUCACACUGCACCCCAAGUCCGCCGCUUAUGCUAUAACUCUUCUUAGAGGGAUUCACGGCACUGAGGCCGUAAGAGACUGAGAGCAAUAACAGGUCUGUGAUGCCCCUAGAUGCUCUGGGCCGCACGCGCGCUACAAUGCCGGGCACAGCAGGUGUUUCUCCUGCUCCGACAGGAGCGGGUAACCCUCUGAAAGCCAGUGUUCUUGCAAGUACUUCCUCCCUCGUGGAGUUGUACAGAGGCGUGCUUGGGCCUGGGACUUGCAAUUCUUUCCCACCAACGAGGAAUGCCUAGUAGCGGCGGGUCACUGAGCCCGCUGUGACUCAGUCCCUGCCCUUUGUACACACCGCCCGUCGCUACUACCGAUUGGGUGUACCAGUGAGAGCCUUGGACUGGCGUCCGUUGUUAUUCGCAAGAGUGACAAGCGGGUCCGACGGAAAGAGGUCCGAACUGGUGCACUUAGAGGAAGUAAAAGUCGUAACAAGGUUUCCGUAGUGAACCUGCGGAAGGAUCAUUA
rnacentral:rRNA from 1 species